ACUCGAGCCGCGGCGGCUGCGGAGCCGACCCCCCGCCCGCCGUCGCCUCGUCGCCGCCCGCGCCGGGCCCGCGCAGCACGAAGAAGCGCUUGUGGCCGUGCUUCUGCUUGCGCAGGCCAGUUUGAGUAGGACUGUCUGCCACCUGAGCAAGAGAAAUCCCACCUGCCAAGCCUCUUGGCAGAUGGUGGUGCAGCCUCCACAGCCUGGUCUUCAGAUUGUAACUCCGGCCCCUGCUCUGAGCUGGAACCCUCUAGAUCGUUUGCAAAUUCUGCGAGAGCCCAGGUGGAGCUCCUGACACAGUGCACAGAAGCAGCCUGGCACAGUGUGUGAAGAGUCCCCCCCGCCAGCCUCCCAAAGACACCGUCUGCUGUCACUGAGGGCUGGGGCCACAGCCUCUGCAUCUCCCGAGCUCCAAAAGUUCCUGUGGUUCAGCGUUCAUUAUGCUCAGGUGACAAUCUGCUGCUAAGCACAGGACUGAGGCUGCAUAGCCAGGCACUGUUCUAGAGGGAUUU
rnacentral:antisense_RNA from 1 species